UACAGAGGGGGCAAGCGUUGUUCGGAAUUACUGGGCGUAAAGGGCGCGUAGGCGGCCUUCUAAGUCGAACGUGAAAUCCCCGGGCUCAACCCGGGAACUGCGUCCGAUACUGGAAGGCUUGAAUCCGGGAGAGGGAUGUGGAAUUCCAGGUGUAGCGGUGAAAUGCGUAGAUAUCGGGAGGAACACCAGUGGCGAAGGGCGACUACCUGGCCUGUUCUUGACGCUGAGGCGCGAAAGCUAGGGGAGCAAACGGGG
rnacentral:rRNA from 1 species